CAAACGUUCGCUUUGAGUUUCUGGGCGAGCUGAAACGGGGCUCGGCCCCGGCGCUCCUCCCACGGCAUCAGACCUGGCACAAAACAUCCCAAAUCCCAACAGGGAUGAAGGAGGAGGUCGUGGUGAGGUGGGGGUCGGCCUCGGCUCCCAUCAAACAGCGACAGGACGGGAGGUGAUGGCCUCAAGCUGCAGCAGGAGGGGUUCGGGUUGGACGUUAGGAACGAUUUCCUCUCCAGAAGAGCAGUGCUGCUGCAGCACAGCUGCCCGUGGUGGUGGUGGUGGGCUCACACCAUCCCCAGGGCUGUUCAGUAACAGAUGUGGUGCCGAGGGAUGCGGUCGGUGGUUUGGUUGGACCCAGUGAUCUUAGUGGCCUUUUCCAACCCUCACGACUCAAUGAAAUCCCAACCAAAUCCCAUUGAGGACAGGGGUUGCAUCCUUACGGUGCACGGCUCCAUGCAAUGGGGGCCCAGGUGGAGCAUCCGUGUGUCCUCCAGGGACAUCCACCCCAAGGGCUCCCGUGGAUGAGGGCGAAGCUCUGCAGCUUUAACACCUGCAGAAGGCUCCGAUGAAAAGCAAAGGCGCCGCAAUGGGAUGAAAGCGUGUGGGCAAAGCAUCUUAUCUGGGGCUGAAACAACGCGCCUGACAACAACACCCAGCGAGGAGAACGCGCUCGGAGAGGGAUGUUUUAAUCUGAUCUCGCUGCAGAAAUAAAGCGCUUCCUUGUCACAGCGCUGACAAAAGAAAAGGCGACAGAGCCAGAAAACAAUUAUAUCUGCAUAAAGAGAUAUAGGGUUGGUUUUUUAAUUUGUUAAUUAGUGACUGCUGGGCAUCACAAGGAUCGUUGUUUUCUCUGAUAUGCUGAUUUCUUCCUUCUCUCGGUGGAAUUGGAGAGCGCACGCACACAGAAAGACACUUCUUUACAAUGGGGAAUGGGGAAGAAGUUUCAGAAAGGUCAGGAGAAAUGUGAUAGGAAGAAGGAGUCUGAGUUCUCCUUUCCUGGAGGGGCUCUGUACUCCGGGUGAGAACUACCCAGGCACAACAAAAUGGG
ensembl:lncRNA